AGAGUUAGACAGAGGAGAGAUAUGGAGGUAGAGGGAUGGGAGAGAGAGGGCAAGAAAAGGAUGGAAGCGAGGGAGGCGAGAAAGACAGAGAGAGGAAGGGACACAGAGACGGAGCAAGAGAAAGAGAGGCCGAGGAAAGCAGAGAAAGAGAAAUCAAAAAGUUAGCGAGAGCUGGCAAGCGAGAGAGGGAAUAGAAACGGAAGAAACAAAGACAGAUAAAAGGAGAGCGGGGAGGGGGAGUAGCCGUAGCCCGUAGUGUGCAGAGAGAGGAGAUCGAGAGAUAGCGCUGGAGAUUGGAUGAUGAUAUCCCUGUGCCUCUGCUCAUUAAUAGUGUGAGCUCUCCUCUCUCUUUCUCCUUUGUGAUUUUAACACAUUUCUAAUUAGCACAGAAUCCACUUUGUUUGGGGGAAGGGAUGGAGAGAUGGAGGGGGGAAUCAUAUAUAUAUAUCUGUCUUUAUUAAAUUCCGUUUCAUUUGAUCUUUUUUUAAACACGACACGACGGUAUAGCCAGCGUUUCCUUUCCCCUGACUCCAGCAGAAGAGAAUGAAAGCUGGUCCUAAUGCAAGGGGUAAUUGGUAUGCUUGUCUGAAAGCUUUCAUGGUUGUCGAAGUUGUUAGAUUCUACAAACAGUGGGAGAUUUUUCGGAAGUUAACAGAUGAUAGAGAAUCAAAAGGCGGACUCAAACGACUUUGGAAUCGACUCUUAAAUCAGUAUUAUUCGUCAUGAUCCACAAAAUGACGAGACACUAAAGUACUAUAUGAUGCUAUCAUUUUAGGUCAGGUAAGGUGGUUGGGGUUCGUUAGGGAAUCCAACAGAAAACAUUUAAAAAACGUUUCGUAACGAAAAACCGAAUGAGUGUUUUUAAUUGGACGACUUCACGUAGUCCCUCCUUAUUUCAGUCCAUUUUCUUCCGUUUGGUGCGUAAUGAAUACGACCCUGAGGGUGUCCUAUCACCUUGUUUUCUGUCAGUCUAACCUUCUCCAUUUGGAGGGACAGUAUUAUGUGCGACACACUGCCGUAUAGACAAUGUCAGUGUGAUAGCCCAGUGGGGAGAGGGAGGCUCCCCUGCUUGUCUUUCAGGGACACGUUUGGCAGUGCUGCUAAUCAGAGUGCAAUUAGACAGAGAACUCUUUGGGCGACAGAAAAAAACUCUGAUUACCCAAGAGUCAAGGGGGUAUAUUUAGGAUCUAUCUGUUCCUGUUCCUCCAUGGUUGACGUGGUGCCCCCGAGCUACGAGCUGAAGUGUGGAGGAGAACGAGGAAAGAUGGAGGAACGAGUGAUCACACAGUGGCUCUAAAGGACACUCCCCAUAGCUAACCCAACACUGUUUACUUUAUGGCUAGCCAUCCUAUGGAUGUACAGCAUACUGUAAGUCCGCAUCACCACCAUCCCCUGGGCUCAUAGAUAUGAUGUCACCAUCACCACCAUCCCCUGGCCCCAUAGAUAGGUCAUCAUCCCCACUAGCUCUACAGAGGCCAAAGACUACAGGCAGCAACCUCCAACGCUCAAAGGUACAGGAUCUCUCUAUACAUGAUGCUUAUCAGUUUACAUAUCUAUCUCCAUCUUUGUAUUUGAUAGUCCACUGGGCGUUGGGCCAGUAACCGAAAGGUUGCUAGAUCAAAUGCCUGAGCUGACAAGGUACAAAUCUGUCGUUCUGCCCCUGAACAAGGCAGUUAACCCACUGUUCUUAGGCCGUCAUUGUAAGAAUAAUAAGAAGAAUUUGUUCUUAACUGACUUGCCUAGUUAAGGUUAAAUAUUUUUUUUUAAAAUAAAUAUAUAUCACCUGCAUAACUACCCACAAAUGUUACCACUUACCACCUGUAACCUACAACUACCUACAAACAGAAAUGUACCCCCUCAACCCCUCUAGAAGUACCUCAAACUCAAACCCAGCUAUCUGCCAUAACCCCUCAUGAAACCAUUUACCCAAAAUUAGCACUCCAACUACCCCCCAUUAACAAUCACAAAAUAAGUCUGACUUAAAUCAGUUUGUAUCUAGCCUCCAAACCCAAACCUACUGUAAUCUCUCUGACUCAGCCCUGAUCCCCCAAACAUCCCUCCCCUUCCCCUCUGCUCCCUCACUGUCUCUCCGAAGUCUGCAGUACUUGUAUUUACACCCUCCCCUCUCACCCCAACACAGUGCUUUGGGGAACAGAGCGCACUCUGCUCCGCUCUGCAUCAACAAGAUCAAGGCUUCAGAAUCAGAGGCGUCAAAUACCACUGCUUGUGCUGAUGAAAGUCAAGAGAGCUGCUGACAGAGUUUAGGAGUUCACACAGACACUUCUGAGUUGUUUUCUUGGUUUUGAAACUCUGCAGAUUGGGAGCAACCUGAAGAAUGUAAUCCGGGCCUUUCGUCUGUCCGACCACAACCCGAGACGGAUCCAGCAACACGAGCUGCGCAGGAUACUGGAGAACUACUGCUUUCCCUUAACACAGAGAGACUAGCAGAGACUGUGGACCCACUAAAGCCCUAACGACAUGGCAACAAUGUCCUACAAAGUGUUCCUGGAGAAGCUGGGCCUGGAAUCUAACAAGUACAGGACGUUUGUCCCGGAGCCUCCAAAGCUAGCGUUGGGCUGGCAAGGAAUUAGUCCUCCAGACAAGACAAAACAGAGGAACAGAGCAGCGUCCCAGAAUGCAACAGGAGAUACACAGCAGAUCCAAGGCCUUACUCAAGACGAGCUGCAGACGCUCUUCCUGAAAAAAGGUAGAAUAGUCAACUUUGAUGGCGCCGUGAUAAUGUAUUGUGGCCAACUCAGUGGAGAAAAUUGCCCAACAAACAGAGAUUAUCCCCUAGCUAAACAUUUGGCCAACUACUAAAAUAUCUUAUCAAGGUCACUGUUGAAAAGUGAAAGCAUCACAUGAUAUGAUUGGGAGGAUACCAUCUAUCCACAUUGGUUUAAGCUAAGACAGUGUGUGCGUUUGUGUUUGUGUGCGUGCAUGCAUACAUGUGUUUGUACGCUCCUGCUUGUGUAUGUGUGCGUAGUUGUGUGUGUUUUAUUGAUUCUGUUUGUAUGUCACCAUCUGGCCCUGUUCCGUGCGUUAUCCUCUUAGAUGAGACAGAGAGGGGAAAUUGGCUCUAAGUGGCGCGCUAGUAUGCGUCGCGACAGAGGGAACACUUCUCAUUAAAAUGUUUGCCCAGAAAAAUCUGUUCCUGAGUUAGUGUGUUAAUCAUGACUAAUUUGUGGGAAGGCAGCAGCAGUGUAGUACUGCACAUCAUAUGGUGGUGAUCCCCACGGCAACCAUAGCGUUGAGUCACUUCCUGUCAUUAGUGUUAUGUGUGUGUGUGUGUGUGUGUUAGUUGUGUGUGAGCUGUACCCUAGUGUGACGAGCACUGCAAGCGUUUGAUGUCACCCACUCUGGACUGGUGUCACAGGAAGACCUGAGGGCCAUGCUCAGCAGCUUCCUGUUUCCCAUGAGCCUCAGCAUCUUCCAGAGCCUGACCUGCCGGUAUGAAAGUGAACAUAGUGGCACGGGUGACUUAAUUACUAUGCUCUCUUUCUGUUACCGAUUCCCUGCUGGCGACUUUCACAUUUGAUCUCGGUUAACCCAGAACGUUAUUUGGUCAGCUGCUCGAUUGUGUUUACGUAGUCUGUCCACGAGAGAGUAUUUCAAAUUCCCACUCCACUCCCCAUCCCCCAGGAGCGGUAUCUGAGUCUAGCAGGGGAGCACUUCCACUUCCUUUGUUCUAAUCCUUCACUGCUUUCAGUAUAGUACUACCCCAUACUGAAGAGAGCCUUCAAACAGUUGGACAGGGUAAGAGACAAGUCCUCGCGAAGGAGCGGGAACAAGGGACAGGAGAUAGAACUAGCACAGCGUAAAAGAUUCUGAUAAACACGUUCCUUCAGCAGAUUACAGAUAGGCAGACCAUUAGCUGCAGCUAUUGAUGUCCAGGAACGGAGUUACAUAUGGCCACUAGUUACUCACUCAGUCACCAUAUGUUCACUUGACAACCAUGUCAGACAUCAACAUCAUCAUGCCUCAAGUUCUAUCUCGAGAUGCUCAAAUCAGUCCACGUCCGCCGCAUGAAAACGUGAUAGUGACACUAGACUUUAGCGGAGAAUAUAUCUUCGAUUAAUUCACAGCGGUGUUUGAUGUUGAUGGGCUACAGCUAUACGCGAAGCAAUCA